rnacentral:rRNA from 1 species
UGGGGAAUAUUGGACAAUGGGCGCAAGCCUGAUCCAGCAAUGCCGCGUGGGUGAAGAAGGCCUUCGGGUUGUAAAGCCCUUUUGUACGGGAAGAAAUCCUGUCGGUUAAUACCCGGCGGGGAUGACGGUACCGUAAGAAUAAGCACCGGCUAACUUCGUGCCAGCAGCCGCGGUAAUACGAAGGGUGCAAGCGUUAAUCGGAAUUACUGGGCGUAAAGCGUGCGUAGGCGGUUGGCUAAGUCAGAUGUGAAAGCCCUGGGCUCAACCUGGGAAUGGCAUUUGAAACUGGCUGGCUAGAGUGCGGUAGAGGAUGGCGGAAUUCCCGGUGUAGCGGUGAAAUGCGUAGAGAUCGGGAGGAACAUCCGUGGCGAAGGCGGCCAUCUGGACCAGCACUGACGCUGAGGCACGAAAGCGUGGGGAGCAAACAGGAUUAGAUACCCUGGUAGUCCACGCCGUAAACGAUGAUAACUAGCUGUCCGGGCUCAUGGAGC